UUAGGACUACUGAUUGUUUGGGGACAUCCGAAAUCACUCAGGAUUGUGGUGACCAGUUGAACAGAGAUAUGCCAAAAGCAGGCAGUGAUUUAUAUCCCUGCAGAAGGAGUCUCGCCCUGUCACCAGGCUGGAGUGCGAUGGUGCAAUCUCUGCUCACUGCAACUUCCACCUCCCGGGUUCAAAUUUCUCCUGCCUCAGCCUCCUAAGUGGCUGGGACUACAGGUGCCUGCCGCCAUGCCUGGCUAAUUUUUUGUAUUUUAGUAGAGAUGGGGUUUAGGCUGGUCUCGAACUCCUGAGCUCAGGCAAUCUGCCCUCCUGAGCUCAGGCAAUCUGCCUGCCUGGGCCUCCCAAAGUGCUAGGAUUACAGGCAUGAGCCACCGCCCUCAGCCACUAUCUUAUUUUUUAGCCUAUCUGAAUUAAAAACAUAAAGUCUUCUCUAUGUAUGUUGAUGAUAAACUUUGGGUUUCAAGGAAAAGAGUCACUCAGGCAACUUCCAAGAAUGGGAGGGGAGAAGGGGUUGUUAUAGGAUACAGUGGAAAUAAAUCUGGGAGGAAUCUCAAUCAUGUUCCAAGAGCUUGCAGGGGCCCAGAGAAAUUCUCACAAUGAGGCCUCACAGGAAAAGCAAGAACACCGACAGCAGGAAAGCUUGGAGGCUAAGAGUUCCCUUGGAAGUUGAACUACUGCCUGAGAAUAUUAAAACAAAAACAGAAACACGUAAAUAGCCAGCCCUGAAACGAGCCUCUCAACUUCUGAUAGGUUAUAUUUACAUUUAUGUACUUUCCU
rnacentral:lncRNA from 10 species